rnacentral:rRNA from 1 species
UACGUAGGGAGCAAGCGUUGUCCGGAAUCAUUGGGCGUAAAGCGCGCGUAGGUGGCCAUGUAAGUCCGCUGUGAAAGUCAAAGGCUCAACCUUUGAAAGCCGGUGGAUACUGCAUGGCUAGAGUACGGAAGAGGCGAGUGGAAUUCCUGGUGUAGCGGUGGAAUGCGCAGAUAUCAGGAGGAACACCAAUAGCGAAGGCAGCUCGCUGGGACGUUACUGACACUGAGGCGCGAAAGCCAGGGGAGCAAACGGG